rnacentral:snRNA from 1 species
AGCUUUGCUCAGUGGCAGUAUCAUAGUCAAUGAGGUUUAUCCAAGGUGUGAUUAUUGCCAAAUGAAGAUAAGUUUAUUUUGCCACAC